rnacentral:rRNA from 1 species
UACGAAGGGGGGCUAGCGUUGUUCGGAAUUACUGGGCGUAAAGGGCGCGUAGGCGGUCUGAUAAGUUAGGUGUGAAAUUCCCCGGGCUUAACCUGGGGGCUGCACUUAAUACUGUUGGGCUUGAAUUCGGGAGAGGAUAGUGGAAUUCCCAGUGUAGAGGUGAAAUUCGUAGAUAUUGGGAAGAACACCAGUGGCGAAGGCGACUAUCUGGACCGACAUUGACGCUGAGGCGCGAAAGCGUGGGGAGCAAACAGG